UACGGGGGGGGUAAGCGUUGUUCGGAAUUACUGGGCGUAAAGGGCUCGUAGGCGGCCAACUAAGUCAUACGUGAAAUCCCUCAGCUUAACUGGGGAACUGCGUGUGAUACUGGAUGGCUUGGAUUUGGGAGAGGGAUGCGGAAUUCCAGGUGUAGCGGUGAAAUGCGUAGAUAUCAGGAGGAACACCGGUGGCGAAGGCGGGUCUCUGGGCCGAUAUCGACGCUGAGGAGCGAAAGCGUGGGGAGCGAACAGG
rnacentral:rRNA from 1 species